rnacentral:rRNA from 1 species
UGAUUGCAGAAUUCAGUGAAUCAUCGAAUCUUUGAACGCACAUUGCGCCUCUUGGUAUUCCUUGAGGCAUGCCUGUUCGAGCGUCACUACAAACCCUCUCAUAGUUAUUAUGGUGUUGAUGGAAGUGAACUGUGUCUAUUGAUGUACUCACACCACUCCAUUGAAAUGAAUAGGCAGGACAAGUGACAACUGCAAUGGACUUAGUAAAUGGUUUCCAGACAUGGACCAGUUCUUUGCUAUGUUGUACAGCCUGUAUCCAUGGACUCCCAUCCAGUAAGCACCUUGGGUUGACCUCGAAUCAGGUAGGGAUACCCGCUGAACUUAAGCAUAUCAAUAAGCGGAGGAAAAGAAACCAACAGGGAUUGCCCCAGUAACGGCGAGUGAAGCGGCAAAAGCUCAAAUUUGAAAUCUGGCACCCCUGGUGUCCGAGUUGUAAUUUGGAGAGGCAUCUUCCGGAGGGACCCAGCCUAUGUUCCUUGGAACAGGACAUCACAGAGGGUGAGAAUCCCGUUCAUGGCUGGAUGUAUCCUCCAGUGGGUAGUGCCUUCUACGAGUCGAGUUGUUUGGGAAUGCAGCUCAAAAUGGGUGGUAAAUUUCAUCUAAAGCUAAAUAUUGGCGAGAGACCGAUAGCGCACAAGUAGAGUGAUCGAAAGAUGAAAAGCACUUUGAAAAUAGAGUCAAACAGUACGUGAAAUUGUUGAAAGGGAAGCGCUUGAGACCAGACUCAGCCUUUGGCAAACAAAUUGUCCUUCUGGACGGUGCACUUGCCCUUGGCUGGGCCAGCAUCAGUUAGGACGGUGGAAUAAAGGCUCGAGGAAUGUGACUCCACUACGGAGUGUUAUAGCCUCGAGUGCCAUACUACCUGUCUUGACUGUGGACCGCGCC